rnacentral:lncRNA from 1 species
UUUAAAAUGCAUGAUUCAAUACAGGAGCUCAAAGACAAAAUACAAGUAGAGUCUGUUUCUGGUUCUGAGUUUAAAAUACAUGAUUCAACACAGGAGCUCAAGAACAAAAUAGAUGUAGAGUCUCUUUCUGGUUCUGAGUUGAAAAUGCAUGAUUCAAUACAGGAGUCCAGCAAAAUACAUGUAGAGUCUGUUUCUGGUUUUGAGUUUAAAAUAUAUGAUUCAACGCAGGAGCUUAAAAACAAAAUAGAUGUAGAGUCUCUUUCUGGUUCUGAAUUGAAAAUGCAUGAUUCAAUACAGGAAUCCAGCAAAAUACAUGUAGAGUCUGUUUCUGGUUCUGAAUUGAAAAUGCACGAUUCAAUACAGGAAUCCAGCAAAAUACAUGUAGAGUCUGUUUCUGGUUCUGAGUGUAAAAUACAUGAUUCAACACAGGAGCUCAAGAACAAAAUAGAUGUACAGUCUCUUUCUGGUUCUGAGUUGAAAAUGCAU